AUGCACCUCAAGCUGGGGCAAGUAUCAGCCAUUGUCAUUUCAUCACCAGAGUUAGCCAAACAAGUCUUGAAGACUCAUGAGACUGCAGCUUUCUCACAAAGGCCUACCAUUCUUGCCGUUGAAGUUUUGUUCUAUAAUUUCUCAGGCAUCAUCUUUAGCCCUUGUAAUGAGUAUUGGAGGCAGAUGAGGAAGAUUUGUGUUUUGGAGCUUCUAAGCGCGAAGCGUGUGCAGUCAUUUUCAUUGAUAAGAGAAGAAGAGGCAUGGAACCUUGUUGAAUCAAUUAGCUUGUCGCAGGGCCAACCCAUCAAUCUCAGUGAGAUGAUUUUCUCCAUGCAAGUCAGCAUCAUUGCCCGUUCAGCCUUGGGAAAAAAAUGCAAAUACCAACAAGAGUUUGGAUCAUUGAUUAAGGAGGCAUUCAUCCUUGGAGAAGUCCUCUCUUUGCCUGAUUUGUUCCCUUCCCUCAAAUUCCUCCGUCACAUCACAAGGACGAAGCCUGCACUGGAGAAGAUACACCGGAAGAUUGACAGAAUUCUUGAUGAAAUCAUUGAUGAUCAUCAUGAGUUGAAAACAGUAAAGACCAAUAUUGUUGCACCUAGCACCACCAGCAAUGAUGAAGUAUUGCAGGAAGGUCUAGUUCAUGUGCUUCUACAACUUCAGGAGUCUGGUGGCCUCCAAUUUGAUCUCACCACCAACCACAUAAAAGCUGUCAUCCUGGUAUAAGUUAUAUGAAUUGCUUAAUUUGUCGAUGAUUUAUCUAGUAACAUCCUCUUUCCUGACAAAUGUUUAUGUUGUGAGACUGAAUCUAAAUCACACACGUUCUGACAAGAAUUAAUGUGAUCUCUUUCGUGAUCCCUUUUAAGAAGGGGACUAUAUAUACAUAACUAAACAAACCUUUUACAGGACAUGUACUUGGCAGGAGCUGAGACUUCAGCAACAACCACAGAAUGGGCAAUAUCAGAACUUGUGAAAAAUCCAACAGCAAUGGAGAAAGCACAAGCUGAGGUACGGCACCUGCUUGCAGGAAAGAGGAAAAGUAUUUUAGAGGAAGACAUUAAGAAACUAGACUACUUGAAGUUAGUCAUAAAAGAAACUCUACGGCUACACCCUCCAGCUCCCUUAAUUCCAAGAGAAGCAACUCAAAGAAUCAAAAUUGGAGGAUAUGAUAUACCUACAGAAGCCAAAGUUCUGAUCAAUGCUUGGGAAAUUGGGAGAGACCCAAAACACUGGGACAAUGCUGAUUGCUUUCUACCUGAAAGGUUUCAAGGUUCAUCCAUCGAUUUUCGAGGGACCAACUUCGAAUUAAUUCCAUUUGGGGCUGGUAAGAGAAUAUGUCCAGGCAUCUCAUUUGGAAUUGCAUCGGUUGAGCUUGCACUUUCUCAACUGCUCUACUACUUCAACUGGAAACUCCCAAAUGGGAAAAAGGUAGAAGAGCUUGACAUGACUGAGUCUUUGGGAAUGACCCCUAGGAGGAGGAAUGACUUGUUUGUUAUCGCCACUCCCUUCGUUCCGUCGUA
rnacentral:lncRNA from 1 species